rnacentral:lncRNA from 1 species
GGGAAUGAAGCCAUGGUGGGCCAGGGACUGGGCGUUACCCAGCAGGGGGCAGUGUGUGUGUCCUGGGGAGACCAAUGCCUGCCUGGAUGCGGAGGGGGCUGGUAGAGAGUGCCGGAGAGGCCUGGAGGAGACUUCGGACCUGCUUUCACAACUGCAGAGCCUCCUGGGGCCACACCUUGACAAAGGUGACUUUGGUCAGCUCUCCGGUCCAGACCCCCCAGGUGAGGUGGGCGAAAGAGCACCUGAUGGAGCCUCCCAGUCCUCUCAUGAGCCUAUGGAAGAUGCUGCUCCCAUUCUCUCCCUGUUAGCUUCCCCGGAUCCUCAAGCCAAGCAUCCUCAGGAUCUGGCCUCCACCCCAUCACCAGGCCCAAUGACCACCUCAGUCUCCUCCCUAAGUGCCUCCCAGCCACCAGAACCUUCCCUUCCCCUAGAACACCCCUCACCCGAGCCACCUGCACUUUUCCCUCACCCACCACACACCCCUGAUCCUCUGGCCUGCUCUCUGCCUCCUCCAAAAGGCUUCACUGCUCCUCCCCUGCGGGACUCCACACUGAUAACUCCAUCUCACUGUGACUCAGUGGCACUUCCACUGGGCACCGUCCCUCAAAGCUUGUCUCCACAUGAGGAUUUGGUGGCUUCUGUCCCAGCCAUCUCAGGCCUUGGUGGCUCAAACAGUCAUGUUUCUGCCUCCUCCCGGUGGCAGGAGACUGCCAGAACCUCGUGCGCCUUUAACUCAUCAGUCCAGCAAGAUCAUCUUUCCCGCCACCCAC